GCCCUGACCCUGUUUGAUACAGAUGAAAAUCGAUUUCCUAUUUGGAAAUCUUACUUAUAUCAACUACAACAGGAAGACCCUAAUCCUCGAAGGAUUAUCUGUACUUUCAAGGGAGAAAACAGCCCAAAGUAUCAUGGAAGAGAGUUUCACGGCAUGAUCUCUGGAGAAGCAGCUGACCAGCUCUUGAGUGUGGCUGAGGGAGAUACAUCAUGGGGAGAGGCAGCAAAAGGCAGGGCCCUACACUUUAGCUUUCAGAUUGGGAAGUCAAACAAGAAACUUCAGGUUCUAGUGCGAUGGAAAUCACUUUGCUGGGAAGAAACACUGUGUGUCCAUCCACAAUCUGGUAACUGAUGGCUUGAUUACUCUCUAUAUUGAAACAAGGCAGCAGAAUACAUUGCCAAGAUGAUGAUAAACCCAGUUUAUGAGCACAUAGGAUGCACAACCUUAAACAGAGAGUCUGUUUGCAAAAAAUAUAUGCCAGUCCUGAAAAAGACACGUGGUGAGAUUCUAUAGGCCAGGAUGAGGUGUCGGAGAAAAGGGUGACAUCACUCGUUAGGAGAGCAACUCUGAAAGAAAACAAGCAAAUUCCAAAAUAUGAAAAGGUUCACAAUUUCAAGGUCCAUGCAUCGAGAGGCCCACGCUGGCAUGAAUACCGUGCCAUCCUCAUGUAUGGUCUCAUUGCUCAGGGAGUGAACUGUGUGGAUUGAUUUCAGUGUUCACAAGCAGUGACCCAACAUGGUCCCAAAUGACUGGAAGCCAGGCUUGAGGCAUGCCAACGUGUCCAGCUGUGACCUUACAAUGCUUGUCAAAAGCACACACUGCUAAGCAGCCAAGGGUGGCAGACAUGUGCAACAGGGAGAUUGAGUCUGAAAGUUCCAGUUCUGAAGGACUAUACCAUGUAUCAGGAUUUAGUGACUUAACUGAUGUCAAGACAGCUUUUGACAGAUGGUGAGAAAGCAGCUAUUUCUGUGAACACAUAUGAAGAUACCAACAUUAUCACUGGAACUCCGAAACUGCACUUCAGGGAUUUGCCAGUUUCACUAAUUGCGCAGGAUAUCUACCGUAAGUUUAUAGAAUCUGCCAAAACUACGGAUCCUAGUGAGUAAUUGGAAACCCUUCAUGAAGCAUUGAAACUACUGGCACCUGCUCGCUGUGAAACCCUCUGAUCCCUGAUGGCGCGUCUAAAGAGAAUGACGCUCCAUGAAAACGAGAAUCUUAUGAAUGCGGAGAACCCUGGAAUUGUCUUUGGCCCAUCCCUUCUGAGACCUCCAGAACAAAAAGCCAUGCCCACACUGAACGAUAUACAAUAUCAGAGACUGGUGGUGGAGCUGCCUAUCAAAAACAGCGACAUUUUACUUUAA
rnacentral:lncRNA from 1 species